rnacentral:rRNA from 1 species
UACGUAGGUGGCGAGCGUUGUUCGGAUUUACUGGGCGUAAAGGGUCCGCAGGGGGCUUUUCAAGUCUGAUGUGAAAUCCCGAAGCUUAACUUCGGAAUUGCAUUGGAAACUGCUAGGCUAGAGCAUCGGAUAGGAGAGUGGAAUUCCAGGUGUAGCGGUGGAAUGCGUAGAUAUCUGGAAGAACACCUAAGGCGAAGGCAGCUCUCUGGACGAUUGCUGACCCUCAGGGACGAAAGUAUGGGGAGCAAACAGG